ACCUGCCAGAAACUGUCGUAAGAGCGCACGAUUUCACUAAUAUUAACUAAUAAAGGUCGACACCGUGCUCGUUUCGAAAGAAGGACAGGAUUAAGGUAGUGCGUCGCAGUAAUGCGUCUGCGGGAG
rnacentral:ncRNA from 1 species